rnacentral:rRNA from 1 species
UACAGGGGGUGCAAACGUUUGCUCGGAAUUAUUGGGCGUAAAGCGCGCGUAGGCGGCCGCUUAAGUCGGAUGUGAAAGCCCCUGGCUCGACUGGGGAAGUGCACCCGAAACUGAGUGGCUUGAGUACUAAAGAGGGUCGCGGAAUUCCCGGUGUAGAGGUGAAAUUCGUAGAUAUCGGGAGGAACACCGGUGGCGAAGGCGGCGACCUGGGUAGAUACUGACGCUGAGGCGCGAAAGCGUGGGGAGCAAACAGG